UACGUAGGGGCGUAGCGUUGUCCGGAAUCAUUGGGCGUAAAGCGCGUGUAGGCGGUCCGGUAAGUCCGCUGUGAAAGUCGGGGGCUCAACCCUCGAAUGCCGGUGGAUACUGUCGGGCUAGAGUGCGGAAGAGGCGAGUGGAAUUCCUGGUGUAGCGGUGGAAUGCGCAGAUAUCAGGAGGAACACCAACGGCGAAGGCAGCUCGCUGGGACGGUACUGACACUGAGGCGCGAAAGCGUGGGGAGCGAACAGG
rnacentral:rRNA from 1 species